ensembl:lncRNA
GGGUAUGAUCUGCAGCGUCUCAGAAAAGGCAAAGCAGAAAUGUGCCGCUGUAAUUUGUGAGCAACCCAAGCCUGCAGAUUUGUUUUCAUGUGAUUCCAACCAGCAAAUCCCGAUCAGACAGUUAUCCUGAUAGGAGAAAAACAUCCCAGCGUCACAUUUAAAUAUCUGUGCUCCCAACUUUUAUCAAUGACAGACAGACAACAGUAUGUCAAGCAAGCAUCAUUUGGUAUUAUGUACUCCUUCGCUCUAUAUCUGUGCAAAACAAACAAACAAUAGGUCUCCUGAUUUCUUUUUCAUGUGUUUUUGGCCUGUUUUUUUUUUUUUUUUUAAUUCAGCGUUGUUGCCCUCUGACAGGCCUGCAGGGAAGUCAUUUUUUUUAGAAGCAGGACGUGUCUAUCUGAGUGUAUUUUUAAAGGCCCAGGCAAGGCAUGACAUUAUACCUGCUCCUGCUACGCUAGCUGAAGGGGAAUCCCCAGUGGCACCUUGUUGAGCGGCCAUGUCAAUUGUUUGUUUGCAUACUGAAUAGCUCCGGGCGUUGUGCUGUCGAGCUCAGAGAAUAAGCAGCUCAUCACUUCCCUUGGACAAUCAGGAAAUCUGUAUGCCAACCAGGAAAACUCACAGGGACUGACAAUCAUGUAGCUGUCAUUGAAUGUAAAUAAACACGUAUGCCGGAGGACCGAAAUGAAGUGGAUGAGAAAAGUUCAAAUAAAGAAAGAAUAGAGAAAUAUGCAGAGCUGUGCAAAAGUCUCAAGUCGCUCUUUAUUUCUUUAUAUUUAGCUUGAGUGUUUAAGGUCAAGACAAUUCUAAUGAGCUUAAAAGUCAAAGUUUGUUAUGACCACCUUUUUUCAUCAGCACAGCCUGAACUGUCUCAGGCAGCUUUCUUGUCAUUUCUUCAAGUAGUCUUCAGGAAUAGUUCUCCAGGCUUCUUAAAGGACAAUCAAAGCUCUUCUUUAGAUGUUUCGGCCUUUUGUUCUGUUCUCUGUCAGUAUGAUCCCACACUGUUUAAACAAUGUUGCGGCUCUGGGGAGGCCAGUCCAUGACUGAUAGUUUCCCAUUGUGUGUUUUUAUAUCCAGGUAUGUUUUUACUGCAUUGGAAGUGUGUUUGGGAUCAUUUGUAAAAAAAAAAAAAAAAAAAAAAAGAAGCAGUUGACAAUAAAACUCUUCCAGAUGGUAUCCUAUGUUUCAAUUUUCACAAAUUCCCUAGUCCUGUGUGAAGGAAAAAAUGUCCAUCCCGGUUUUCACUCCAAGGCACGAGCGAUAAGCAGAGUUCUGUCCUUUCCUUCUAAGAUUCCUAAUUAUUUAAAGUAACACUCAGGUAUGCCAUUCAGCUGGGUUAGUUACGACGUCGGGAGCAGCUUGGGAGAACAAGGAAACACAGACUGCUUCAGGUUGUCUUCCCAAAUCGACUCAAAGGUUUAUUUAGUACAUAACAGCUUAUAUAGAGGAAAAAAAGGUUCGUGUGUCAGCAAGUUCUCAGUUCAAACCGGUACAGACCAAAUAAGGAAACGUCUUCCUGCCUUGUGAGCAAAGAAGUAUCCUGUGUGUAGUUUAUCAGUUCAGCUACAAUUUAUGAUCAUCCCAGCAAAAUACACUCCUAGACAUAGAAUACAGAGUUCUUUCAUUAGUGAAUUCUGAAACAAACCACCUGGCCUUUAACGAGCCUUUUUCUAAGAGAUAAAGAAAAAGGGAGGAUGGGAGUAAGGAUGUGGUCUCGUCUCUGUGGUAUUUUCGACCUUGGGGUACCAGCCUGUGAGUCUUACACAUUAAUUCUUGGGUCACAGAGAAAGAGAAAAACAACUAUUAAAUGGGCCUUAUUGAGUAACUCUUUUCUGUAUAAUAUCACAAUAAAACAAUAUCCUGUAAAUGCUACCAUGGUAUCAAAA